rnacentral:pre_miRNA from 13 species
UCCGGGGCAGAGUGAUGGUGUCACGCACAAUGCCAGGAGAUGUCAUCAUGUGCUACCUCGUUCCAUGAUAUCACCCAUCACCAGGCGUGUCCAUUGAGAGCCGCAGC